UACGUAGGGAGCAAGCGUUGUCCGGAAUCAUUGGGCGUAAAGAGCGCGUAGGUGGCUUCGUAAGUCCGUUGUGAAAGUCAAAGGCUCAACCUUUGAAAGCCGAUGGAUACUGCGGAGCUAGAGUACGGAAGAGGCGAGUGGAAUUCCUGGUGUAGCGGUGAAAUGCGCAGAUAUCAGGAGGAACACCGGUGGCGAAGGCGGGUCUCUGGGCCGAUACUGACGCUGAGGAGCGAAAGCGUGGGGAGCGAACAGG
rnacentral:rRNA from 1 species